UUUGUUUUGCUGCGCGGCCGCCGCCGCCGCCGCCGCGGGCCUCGCGAGCUCAUUUGUGCCUGGCUGGUCCCCAUUCCUCUCUCCCCAGUGUUGAGUGUCUGAGCCGUUGGCUGCUCCGAACCGUUUGGCUCUUUCCCUUAGUAACAGCUUUUACCUUCUGCCUCAAUUCCUCUCCCGCUCGCGCCCUUCCCCCGCGCGCCGCCUCCCCCCGCCGCCGGCCGCGUGCGCCCCCGCCCCUCCCCCCGCGGCGGGAGCACCUCCGCUCGCCACCUGGGGACCCGCGCCGCGCUCCCCGCCCCCGCCCGCCCGGCGCCCAUCCCCCGCGCCCUCCGCUCGCUGGGGUUAUAAUUGCCUCUCACCCCCCGGAGGGGUUAUUUUGGGGGUGGUUGGAGGCGGUGGCGGCGGCGGCGGCGAGGAGGGGAAUUUCCUUGUGCCUCCAUUCCUGGGAGGGGGGAGCGGCGUUGGAGGCCACCGUUUCCAGAAUUUAAAGUCCACGAGAACAGGGAUGGGCUCUGUCUUACGUGUCAUUCUGUCUGCAGCUACCUAGAACAGGACCUGGCAGUGAGUGCCUAUUACAUGCCAGGCACUGUGCCAUAUGUCAACAGGAAAUAAGAGCUGGGUAAGCAUACAUAUAGCACAGUCUUCAUUGCUAGCUAUGGGGUUGAGUGGAGGCGUGGGGGAAGAAGGACAUUCCAAGAAGAGGAAUAUUAGCACCAGGGACAGUAAUCUAUGAAUUAGGUCUAGAGAUAAGUAUGUGUGUGUGGGAUGGUUGCUGUGGGGGUUGGAGGUGGUGGCGGCAGGACCCCAAGUCAUGAGGCUUGUGGAUAAGCCAAGCUUUGGAAAGUUGAGGGACCUAGUGAAGGAAUUUGAGUGGGACUGCAGUGUAAUCAGAUAAUCCUGGCAGCACCUUGGAGAAUGCAUUGGGAUUCAGGAGGCUAUUGUCAUGAUAGAGGUGAGAAGUGAAAGUCUUAACUAGGGACAGUGGAACAGUGGUUCUCAGACUUGUGUGCAUCAGAAUCACUUGGAGGGCUGUUUAAAACAGCCUGCUCAGCCCUGCCCCCUAAUUUCUGACUCAGCAGGUCUUAGGUUAGGACCUGAGAAUGUGCACCUUUAGCAGUUUCCCAGGUGAUGUUGAUACUGCUGGUAGAAGGAGUAUUUUGGAGCCGCUGGGUGUGAUAAAGGGAGUCAGCUGGGUGGAAGGAUUUAGGAAGUAGUCAUUGUGGAUCUCUUCUAGUGAUUUUUUUGUUAGCAGUGCUCAUGCACGUUUGGUCUUUGUCUGUUACAUCCUUUAGAGCUGCUGACUUUUUUGACCAGUGAAGAAAGCGUGAGGAUUAGUUUUUGGAAGCAAUUAUACGGGCAUGCGUGCAAUUUGUCUCGUGCAUUAUCUUUGGAAAAGUUGUACCACUCUGUUACUGGAGAUCUUUGUCAUUUCUCUGUUGAGCUCCAAUUAUAACAGUGGUUUUAUAGUAGCAUUGCCCUAGUAUACAUGUAGUGCAUAGUUUUCAAAAUGUUCUAAUGCAUAGCAUUAUUUUGAAUAGUUUCUUGUUCUGUGUAUCUGCCAUGAUCAUGGUUUUCUUUUCUUUCUUUUUUUUUUUUUUUGAGAUGGAUUUUUUCUGUUCUUGCUCAGACUGGAGCACAAUGGUGCGAUCUCACUUCACCACAACCUCCGCCUC